rnacentral:misc_RNA from 1 species
GCUCACAAGAGGAGGUUUGCAAACACAUAUAUAUAACACCCAAAACCUCCCUGCAGAAUCAAUUUGAGACGCAUUAUUCUCGAUUCCUUUAGACUGAACGUUCUCGUAAAGCUACCGGGGUUUUGACUUAUUCAUCCUGACCUCUCUUGAAUAACGUUAGGAAACCUUUAUACAUGGCUCACCAACCUAUACAUUGUGAGACUUUGAUACCAAAUGAUA